AUGUGCGGGGCAGCAGCUCAAAAACGUGAUUUUUGAGUCAUUUCUUAGAUUUUCUUUUCCUCUCUUCCUCUUCCCUCUUCCAUGUCCAAAACCCUAGCUCCCAAAACCUUGAUUUCCUCCACUUUUCUCAACAAAUCAACCAUGGAUCUUGCAUCAAGGAUGGAGAAUAAGAGGAGAUCACCACUUUCUACCAAAUGGAAUUUCGAAAUUUUUGAGGGCAUAACCUGAGAAGGACAAGCACUCCGUUAUAGCACUGUCACCAAUCAGAUGGUCAGUCCUAGCCAUGACGCUGCCUUCUUUUGUCAACCUUCGUGUGUCCAGGCACUAUACACAGUCAUUGAUUUUGUUAAGCUGAUAAGAUGUUGGCUUGCUUUUUGAAUGUCUAUCUAAGAGUGAUGUAUAUAGCUCUCAUGUUUUUGUAUAUGCCCAAUAAUAGGGCUGGGUCUGUAUAUAUGUAUGUAUAUAACCGAUGUUCAGGUGUAUGUUUUAGAUUUUAUUUGUUUGUUAAAAGU